AUUACUAAUUAAUCCUCCAAUAAUUAUUUUAAUUAUUUUAUAGGAUAAUUUGCCAAUCGAAUUGACCAAAUUAUCCCUGAAUGAUUUUUAAUCAUCCAUCAGCUAUCUUGAUCAAUCAGAAAACUUCUAUGCGUGUGACCUCAUAGGUUCGAACCUAAGCCGGUAGUACAUGAACAACUUUUUGCACUAAUCGAUGUGACCAUCUAGCAAUGGUACCCGACGUCCAGAUAGGCCGAAUAUAUGCGAAGCAAAUAUUCUAAAAUUCUGGACUAUGGUUACUGUAUAAUUCAUCCCUUUGACUCCUAAUGAUAGGAUGACCUCAGAGUUCUAUCAACUCUCUAAUCAGUACAUCCACUAUGUGAUCAACUUUAGAAAUCUUGUGACUCAUCA
rnacentral:lncRNA from 1 species